rnacentral:rRNA from 1 species
GAUGAACGCUGGCGGCAUGCCUAAUACAUGCAAGUCGAGCGAAUGGAUUAAGAGCUUGCUCUUAUGAAGUUAGCGGCGGACGGGUGAGUAACACGUGGGUAACCUGCCCAUAAGACUGGGAUAACUCCGGGAAACCGGGGCUAAUACCGGAUAACAUUUUGAACCGCAUGGUUCGAAAUUGAAAGGCGGCUUCGGCUGUCACUUAUGGAUGGACCCGCGUCGCAUUAGCUAGUUGGUGAGGUAACGGCUCACCAAGGCAACGAUGCGUAGCCGACCUGAGAGGGUGAUCGGCCAGACUGGGACUGAGACACGGCCCAGACUCCUACGGGAGGUAGCAGUAGGGAAUCUUCCGCAAUGGACGAAAGUCUGACGGAGCAACGCCGCGUGAGUGAUGAAGGCUUUCGGGUCGUAAAACUCUGUUGUUAGGGAAGAACAAGUGCUAGUUGAAUAAGCUGGCACCUUGACGGUACCUAACCAGAAAGCCACGGCUAACUACGUGCCAGCCGCCGCCGUAA